rnacentral:rRNA from 1 species
AUUGAACGCUGGCGGCAUGCCUUACACAUGCAAGUCGAACGGUAACAGGUCUUCGGAUGCUGACGAGUGGCGAACGGGUGAGUAAUACAUCGGAACGUGCCUAGUAGUGGGGGAUAACUACUCGAAAGAGUGGCUAAUACCGCAUGAGAUCUACGGAUGAAAGCAGGGGAUCGCAAGACCUUGUGCUACCAGAGCGGCCGAUGGCAGCUUAGAGAGUUGGUGGGAUAAAAGGUUUCCAAGCCGACGAUCUGUAGCUGGUCUGAGAGGACGAUCAGCCAGACUGGGACUGGGACACGGCCCAGACUCCUACGGGAGGCAGCAGCGGGGAAUUUUGGACAAUGGGCGAAGGCCUAAUUCAGCAAUGCCGCGUGCAGGAUGAAGGCCUUCGGGUUGUAAACUGCUUUUGUACGGAACGAAAAGCCCUGGGUUAAUACCCUGGGGUCAUGACGGUACCGUAAGAAUAAGCACCGGCUAACUACGUGCCAGCCGCCGCCGUAACAC